AUUGAACGCUGGCGGCAUGCCUUACACAUGCAAGUCGAACGGCAGCACGGGUGCUUGCACCUGGUGGCGAGUGGCGAACGGGUGAGUAAUACAUCGGAACAUGUCCUGUAGUGGGGGAUAGCCCGGCGAAAGCCGGAUUAAUACCGCAUACGAUCCACGGAUGAAAGCGGGGGACCUUCGGGCCUCGCGCUAUAGGGUUGGCCGAUGGCUGAUUAGCUAGUUGGUGGGGUAAAGGCCUACCAAGGCGACGAUCAGUAGCUGGUCUGAGAGGACGACCAGCAACAGUGGGAAUGGAGAACGGCCCAGAACCCUACGGGAGGCAACAGUGGGGAAUUUUAGACAAGGGGAGAAAGCCUAAACCAGCAAUGCCGCGUGAGUGAAGAAGGCCUUAGGGUUGGAAAGGACUUUUGGCCAGAAAAAAAACCUUGACCCUAAAACAGCCGGGGGAUGACGGGACCGGAAAAAUAAACAACGGCUAACUAAGU
rnacentral:rRNA from 1 species